rnacentral:rRNA from 1 species
AUUGAACGCUGGCGGCAUGCUUUACACAUGCAAGUCGAACGGCAGCGCGGGCUUCGGCCUGGCGGCGAGUGGCGAACGGGUGAGUAAUACAUCGGAACGUGCCCAGUAGUGGGGGAUAGCUCGGCGAAAGCCGGAUUAAUACCGCAUACGACCUGAGGGUGAAAGCGGGGGAUCUUCGGACCUCGCGCUAUUGGAGCGGCCGAUGGCAGAUUAGCUAGUUGGUGGGGUAAAGGCCUACCAAGGCGACGAUCUGUAGCUGGUCUGAGAGGACGACCAGCCACACUGGGACUGAGACACGGCCCAGACUCCUACGGGAGGCAGCAGUGGGAAAUUUUGGACAAUGGGCGAAAGCCUGAUCCAGCAAUGCCGCGUGUGUGAUGAAGGCCUUCGGGUUGUAAAGCACUUUUGGCGGGAACGAAAAGGACUGUGCCAAUACCACGGUUCGAUGACGGUACCCGCAGAAUAAACACCGGCUAACUACGU